UACGUAGGGACCAAGCGUUGUUCGGAAUUACUGGGCGUAAAGGGCUUGUAGGCGGCCAACUAAGUCCGACGUGAAAUCCCCAGGCUUAACCUGGGAACUGCGUCGGAUACUGGAUGGCUUGAAUUCGGGAGAGGGAUGCAGAAUUCCAGGUGUAGCGGUGAAAUGCGUAGAUAUCUGGAGGAACACCGGUGGCGAAGGCGGCAUCCUGGACCGGCAUUGACGCUGAGGCGCGAAAGCCAGGGGAGCAAACGGG
rnacentral:rRNA from 1 species